UACGUAGGGGGCAAGCGUUGUCCGGAAUUAUUGGGCGUAAAGAGCGCGUAGGCGGUCCGCUAAGUCGGCUGUGAAAGUCAGGGGCUCAACCCUUGAAAGCCGGCCGAUACUGUCGGACUAGAGUCCGGAAGAGGCAAGUGGAAUUCCCGGUGUAGCGGUGAAAUGCGCAGAUAUCGGGAGGAACACCAAUGGCGAAGGCAGCUUGCUGGGACGGUACUGACGCUGAGACGCGAAAGCGUGGGGAGCAAACAGG
rnacentral:rRNA from 1 species